CCUACGGGCGGCAGCAGUGAGGAAUAUUGGUCAAUGGAGGAGACUCUGAACCAGCCAAGUAGCGUGAAGGAUGACGGCCCUAUGGGUUGUAAACUGCUUUUAUACGGGGAUAAAAUGUCCCACGUGUGGGAUAUUGUAUGUACCAUAUGAAUAAGGAUCGGCUAACUCCGUGCCAGCAGCCGCGGUAAUACGGAGGGUCCGAGCGUUAUCCGGAUUUAUUGGGUUUAAAGGGUGCGCAGGCGGCCUGUUAAGUCAGCGGUAAAAGCCCGGGGCUCAACCCCGGCGGGCCGUUGAAACUGGGGGGCUUGAGUUGUCCAGAGGUAUGCGGAAUGCGCAGUGUAGCGGUGAAAUGCUUAGAUAUUGCGCAGAACUCCGAUUGCGAAGGCAGCAUACCGUCGGCGUUCUGACGCUGAGGCACGAAAGCGUGGGUAUCGAACAGGAUUAGAUACCCGUGUAGUC
rnacentral:rRNA from 1 species